UACGAAGGGGGCUAGCGUUGCUCGGAAUCACUGGGCGUAAAGGGUGCGUAGGCGGGUCUUUAAGUCAGGGGUGAAAUCCUGGAGCUCAACUCCAGAACUGCCUUUGAUACUGAGGAUCUUGAGUUCGGGAGAGGGAAGCGGAAUUCCGGGUGUAGCGGUGAAAUGCGUAGAUAUCCGGAGGAACACCGGUGGCGAAGGCGGCUUCCUGGACCGACACUGACGCUGAGGCGCGAAAGCUAGGGGAGCAAACGGG
rnacentral:rRNA from 1 species